rnacentral:sRNA from 1 species
GCAUCACGUUCGGCCAGCGACGGAAAGAUUCACGUUCAUACCGCACGUCGUGGAGGGCACGCCCCGCAGUCCCAGGCUGCCGCUCGCAGACCAGCCUCCAGGGCUUGUUUUGGUAAUGCCUUUCUCCCAUUUAUGGGCUACCCUAGUGGCCUGAGUACAUGACCCGGCGGGUUUGUGCCGGGUCAUUUU